rnacentral:lncRNA from 1 species
AUGGAAUCCGCCGCUAGAAGAAGAGGAGGAGGCGUUUUCGAAGGCCUUUACAAGGUCCUCAUGCGCCGCAACUCUGUCUACGUUACCUUCGUCAUCGCCGGCGCUUUCCUCGGAGAACGGGCUGUUGAUUACGGAGUUCACAAGUUAUGGGAAAGGAAUAAUGUUGGGAAAAGGUAUGAAGACAUUUCUGUGCUAGGGCAAAGGCCAGUUGACGAGUGA